AUGGUGGUGGUGGCUACCGCGCCGAGUCCGGCCACCGGGGCCCCCAAGAUGCUGCUUCUGUCCAGCAAGCCGGCCGCAACCGCCACCACCGCAGCUGCCCCAGCCGGCCGUGCUCUGCCGCUCAUGGUUCCGGAUGCGGCGGGCGGGGGACCGCCCCAGGCGCGCAAGCGACAGCGCCUCACGCACUUGAGUCCCGAAGAGAAGGCGCUGCGGAGGAAAUUGAAAAACAGAGUAGCCGCACAGACUGCCAGAGACCGGAAGAAAGCGCGGAUGAGUGAGCUGGAACAACAAGUGGUGGAUUUAGAAGAAGAGAACCAGAAACUUUUGCUAGAAAAUCAGCUUUUGCGAGAGAAAACCCAUGGCCUUAUAGUUGAAAACCAAGAAUUAAGGCAGCGCUUGGGGAUGGACACUCUUGUUAAGGAAGAAGAAGCGGAGACCAAGGGGAAUGGACUGAGGCCGGUGGCCGGGUCUGCUGAGUCCGCAGCACUCAGACUACGUGCACCUCUGCAGCAGGUGCAGGCCCAGUUGUCACUCCUCCAGAACAUCUCCCCAUGGAUUCUGACAGUGUGGACUCUUCAGACUCUGAGUGUGAUAUCCUUUUGGGCAUUCUGGACAACAUGGACCCAGUCAUGUUCUUCAGGUAUCUUGCCCCCGAGUCUGCCAGUCAGGAGGAACUGCCAGAGGUCUACCCAGAAGGACCCAGUUCCUUACCAGCCUCCCCUUCUUCAUCACUGGGGACGUCAUCAGCCAAGCUGGAAGCCAUUAAUGAACUGAUUCGCUUUGACCAUGUGUAUACCAAGCCUCUCAUCUUAGAGAUGCCCUCUGAGACAGAGAGCCAUGCCAGUGUGGUAGUUAAAGUGGAGGAAGCACCUCUCAGCCCCUCAGAGAAAGAUCACCCUGAAGGCCCCAUCUCAGUGAAGGAAGAACUUGUGGAAGAUGACUUCAUUCCAGAGCUGGGAAUCUCAAAUCUCCUUUCAACCAGCCACUGCCUGAAGCCAUCUUCCUUCCUGCUGGAUACUUACAGUGACUGUGGAUAUGAGGGUUCCCCUUCCCCCUUUAGCGACCUGUCCUCUCCCCUUGAUGUGGAUCAUUCUUGGGAGGACACUUUUGCCAAUGAACUCUUUCCCCAGCUAAUUAGCGUCUAAGUAAUGAUCCAGUACUUACCGCCCUUUCCCUUGUGUAUCAACAUCACUGCCUGGAGCAUGGCAGACAAGCCACUCUGUGCU